rnacentral:rRNA from 1 species
GUGGGGAAUCUUCCGCAAUGUACGAAAGUCUGACGGAGCAACGCCGCGUGAGUGAUGAAGGUCUUCGGAUUGUAAAGCUCUGUUAAUCGGGACGAAAGAGCCUAGUGUGAAUAAUGCUAGGAAGUGACGGUACCGGAAUAGAAAGCCACGGCUAACUACGUGCCAGCAGCCGCGGUAAUACGUAGGUGGCAAGCGUUGUCCGGAAUUAUUGGGCGUAAAGCGCGCGCAGGCGGAUCUGCCAGUCUGUCUUAAAAGUUCGGGGCUUAACCCCGUGAUGGGAUGGAAACUACAGAUCUAGAGUAUCGGAGAGGAAAGUGGAAUUCCUAGUGUAGCGGUGAAAUGCGUAGAUAUUAGGAAGAACACCAGUGGCGAAGGCGACUUUCUGGACGAAAACUGACGCUGAGGCGCGAAAGCCAGGGGAGCGAACGGGAUUAGAUACCCGGGUAGUCC